rnacentral:rRNA from 1 species
GCACGUAGUUAGCCGGUGCUUCUUCUUCGGGUACCGUCAUUAGUCCGUGGUAUUAGCACGAACCGUUUCGUCCCCACCGAAAGAGCUUUACAACCCGAAGGCCUUCUUCACUCACGCGGCAUGGCUGGAUCAGGCUUGCGCCCAUUGUCCAAAAUUCCCCACUGCUGCCUCCCGUAGGAGUCUGGACCGUGUCUCAGUUCCAGUGUGGCUGAUCGUCCUCUCAGACCAGCUACGGAUCGUAGCCUUGGUGGGCUUUUACCCCGCCAACUAGCUAAUCCGACAUCGGCCACUCCAAUAGUGCGAAGCCUUGCGGUCCUCCGCUUUCCCCCGUAGGGCGUAUGCGGUAUUAGCCUAUCUUUCGACAGGUUAUCCCCCGCUACUGGAAAUGUUCCGAUGUAUUACUCACCCGUUCGCCACUCUACUUGCGGGUUGCCCCGCUUUCGCGUUCGACUUGCAUGUGUAAGGCAUGCCGCCAGCGUUCAAU